rnacentral:rRNA from 1 species
UACGGGGUGAGCAAGCGUUGUUCGGAUUUACUGGGCGUAAAGGGCGCGUAGGCGGCCUCUGCAAGUCGACUGUGAAAUCUCCGGGCUUAACCCGGAAAGGUCAGCCGAUACUGCAGGGCUAGAGUGCAGAAGGGGCAACUGGAAUUCUCGGUGUAGCGGUGAAAUGCGUAGAUAUCGAGAGGAACACCUGCGGCGAAGGCGGGUUGCUGGGCUGACACUGACGCUGACAGCGCGAAAGCUAGGGGAGCGAACGGG